GCCACUUUUUUUCUUUGCUCCCCUUCAUGGCGUCUUUCUCUUCACGCUGUUGCUUUCUUUUUAGGUUUGUUUUGUUUUUCAAGCCCAUUUCUUUUUUAAGGAAUAGUCAGAUGUUGAUGGCCUUGUUGGAAUGGACCAUUAACUAAGUGGUCCUGUGCAGAACCUCCAGCAUGCUGUAACAGACGAGGGACAAGAGGAAAGGCAAGAUGUACAGAAUCAUGUGCCGGUGGUUUAACAAGCCCAACACACACACAAAAACCCUUUCUGACAAAAGCCGGUGUUACUAGCAGACAGUACCACAUGAAGACCGAGAAGAAGGUGAAACGGCCUAGCCACCAGUGCUCUGUCCUCCGCUAGACACACAGCCAUGUUAUUUCACAGAAGCCUUGACAGGAGACGAAAACGGCUGAGACUCCUCCAGCCGUAACCUGCAAAGCCCAACCAAAAGCGAACAUAAUGGAUAAUUCCUUCAGCUUGACCAAGGGAAAAAAAGUUUAAAAGUAAAAAAAAAAAAGAAAGAAAAGAAAAAAAUGAGAGGGAGAGGAGGGUGGGAGCUAUGACAUAGUGCCUUAGCACAUUUAAGAUGGUCUGCUGUUUGGGUUUUUUCUGUGUGUAAGGCGUGACAGUCUUUAUUUUCUGUUUGACUGGUGGCAAGAGUUGCAGUGGAUGUCUUUCUCUCUUCUGCACCACGAAACAGCUUAAAAGCCUUUCUGGGACUUUUAAUUUCUCACAGUCGAAACUCCAGACUGCCCCUGAAAUGUGAGCCCCACUGAGUUAUAACCAAAUCCAAUUCCUACUGAAACAACUACACACAAACAAAAAUCAUUUUCACUAGAAAUUGUAGAAUAUGCUUAGUGUGUGAAAGAAAAUAAUUGGAUUAUGUAAAUGUGGCGCACAAAGAUAGAUUUUUUUGGACUGCCUGCCUUUAAUUACAGUAUAACUCCUUAACAAUAUAUCACACCUCUGACUAAGGCACAUUAAGCCCCCCCCCCCCCCCACACACACACACACACAAAGAAAAUGUUUUCAAAAUGUAUUGCCAUU
rnacentral:lncRNA from 1 species